rnacentral:rRNA from 1 species
UACAGAGGUCCCGAGCGUUGUUCGGAUUCACUGGGCGUAAAGGGUGCGUAGGUGGCGAGGUAAGUCGGAUGUGAAAGCUCGGAGCUCAACUCCGAAAUGGCAUUGGAAACUACCUUGCUCGAGGGUUGGAGGGGGACUGGAAUUUACGGUGUAGCGGUGAAAUGCGUAGAUAUCGUAAGGAAGACCAGUGGCGAAGGCGGGUCUCUGGACAGUUCCUGACGCUGAGGCACGAAGGCCAGGGGAGCAAACGGG